rnacentral:rRNA from 1 species
AGUGAACGCUGGCGGUAGGCCUAACACAUGCAAGUCGAACGGCAGCACAGUAAGAGCUUGCUCUUACGGGUGGCGAGUGGCGGACGGGUGAGGAAUACAUCGGAAUCUACUUUUUCGUGGGGGAUAACGUAGGGAAACUUACGCUAAUACCGCAUACGACCUACGGGUGAAAGCAGGGGAUCUUCGGACCUUGCGCGAUUGAAUGAGCCGAUGUCGGAUUAGCUAGUUGGCGGGGUAAAGGCCCACCAAGGCGACGAUCCGUAGCUGGUCUGAGAGGAUGCACAGCCACACUGGGAAUUAGACACGGUCCAGAAUCCGACGGGAGGCAAGAGUGGGGAAUAUUUGACAAUUGGCCCAAGCCUGAUCCAGCCAUACCGCGUGGGUGAAGAAGGCCUUCGGGUUGUAAAGCCCUUUUGUUGGGAAAGAAAAGCAGCAGGUUAAUACCCCGCUGUUCUGACGGUACCCAAAGAAUAAGCACCGGCUAACUUCGUG